rnacentral:rRNA from 1 species
UGGCCUAACMCAUGCAAGUCGAGCGGCAGCGGGGAAAGUAGCUUGCUACUUUUGCCGGCGAGCGGCGGACGGGUGAGUAAUGCCUGGGAAAUUGCCCAGUCGAGGGGGAUAACAGUUGGAAACGACUGCUAAUACCGCAUACGCCCUACGGGGGAAAGCAGGGGNACCUUCGGGCCUUGCGCGAUUGGAUAUGCCCAGGUGGGAUUAGCUAGUUGGUGAGGUAAUGGCUCACCAAGGCGACGAUACCCUAGCUGGUCUGAGAGGAUGAUCAGNCACACUGGAACUGAGACACGGUCCAGACUCCUACGGGAGGCAGCAGUGGGGAAUAUUGCACAAUGGGGGAAACCCUGAUGCAGCCAUGACCGCGUGUGUGAAGAAGGCCUUCGGGUUGNAAAGCACUUUCANCGAGGAGGAAAGGUCAGUAGCUAAUAUCUGCUGGNUGUGACGUUACUCGCAGAAGAAGCUACAGU